rnacentral:tRNA from 1 species
GGGCGAUUAGCUCAAUUGGUAAGAGCGUCGGCUUUACAAGCCGAAGGUUAUUGGUUCGAGUCCAAUAUCGCCCACCA